rnacentral:lncRNA from 1 species
GGCGCCAGGCGCUCCGGCCGCAAGGGAGCAGGGAGCCCUGCCAGCUGGGCCACCCGAGGGGCGUUGCGGGGCUCCGGGCGGGGUCGACCCGGGGGGCUCCGUCGGGCCCCACCAGCCUUGCGCCUUUUUCGCUCGGUCUCCUUGGCCUCCCGCUCCUGCGACGCCGCUUUCCUUUUCUCUUGCUCCCGAGCUCGGACCUCGGCCAGGGGCCCCGCCCGCCAGUUGGUCGCCUCCUGCAGCACCCUGGAGGCCCAGGGCCGGCGGGGCGGCGGCUGUGGGGAUCCCGGGCGCGGCCCACACCUGGGACAAUGAGCAGGAACCCAGGGAAUGUGACUUCACUGGACGCAGUAUAAAGAUCUUCAGAUGUCCUCCUGCCGGGGAUUGCAGGGAUCACAGAAAGACCAUCGAGGUCCAGGAGCUACCUGCAAGCGGAGAUCCCUCUGGACGCCCCGUGCCUCACCCAGCAAAGCCGGCUCACAACCCUGCGCUCUCAAACCUCUAAAAGGGCUUGAGGUGCCAAUAGGAAAGGAGGCCCGAGAUUGCCACGGCAUACGUGGGCCCCAAGGAGGGAGCCAGGAGUCACUGCCUGCUUGGGCUAAGGGUACCGCGUACGGAAAGGCGGCGGGGACGCGGCCCAGUUCCAGGAGAUGCGCCCAACGAAGAAGCGGAGGAACAGGGUCACGGGAUAGGGCAGACACCCGGCUGCUUUUUGUUUGCUAGACACCAGCGCCAGCCCCUGCCCGGCCCUCCCGGUCUCCUAAGGGUUGGGGGGGUGUCUUAGGCUCCACAGCGCCCCCGACCGCCCUCCUGCACUCCUCACCGUCUCCAUUGCAAGAGGCGCCCGGCUUGGUUUCCUCGCUUUAGGAAACUCUCUUGGGGCAGGCCCCGCCCCACAUCCGGUGCGGCGACGCCACUUCCGCCCACGUCAUGGCAGUCGCCAGACUGGGGCGGAAGGCAAGGAACCCACCCUUCCGGCGGUGGCGGGCCUCGGUAACCGCCCUCCCCCGGGUCCUCGCGGACCGCACGGAUCCGGCUGACGGCGAGGGUCAUGGGACGGAGCCGCUUGUAUUUAAAAUGUUCUUUUUUUAUUUGUCGUUUAAAAACAAACUUGGAAGAAGCAAAAUCCAAAACUUGCCCUUUGCCUCUCGCAACAUAAAUAUGUACAGUUCAGAAUGAUCGCUGAUACAAAACAUGCCAAGGACAGGGGCGCUGAGGGUGGAGGGAGAGAGGGCGCUUUAAAAAAGGGAACCAUUUCAUCCGUUGUUACGAAGGACCAACCUUGCUGUACAGGAUACACACAACACAAAAUAAAGUCUUCACGGGA